rnacentral:lncRNA from 1 species
UCUUCACUUCAGGGUAGUCCAGUAAACAUCAUUGUUGGAUCGCAUGUUUGGGCUGAAGAUCCUGAAGCUGCGUGGAUCGAUGGACAAGUGUUAGAGAUUAAAGGAUUGGAUGCAACUAUACUUACUACAGAUGCCAAGACUGUGAGUCCAUCUUCACAUCCCCAAUUCAAUUUCAAUCCACUUGUUACUAGGAUUCAGUUUUGCAAUCAUGCAACCAAGACAAUGAUAAUAUUUUAUUGAUUUAGUUUGUAUUAAUAGAAUAUUAGAAUGUGAGAGGUGAGUGUAGUAUUACAUGUUCAUGUUCUAUAGAAUUUCUAAAAAAAAAAACACAUGUAUUUAUAUCUGUAAUAGUAACAAGUUUAUGAUGUUACAAAGUAUUUGGUUAAAGGAGUCAUGAAAUCUUUAUUUAUUUAGCUAGUGGAUAUGGCCAAAGAAAUAGGAAUAGUAGUAAAAGGGCAAUUGAGAAAGGGUUGAUGGGUGGGUGCCAAAUUCCUUGGAAAUAAAGCAUACCAGCAGUCAUCACCUUCAAGAAAUGCUGUUUAGUAGUUUGAAAUUUAGAAGGUUGUUAGAGUCCUAGCCAAUUCAUAGGUGUAGGAAUAUAUUUCCAAUCUAAACAUUUAAGAGAAAUAAUUCAUGAUUUCAGAUAGUUGCAGCUAUUUCAAGCAUAUAUCCAAAAGAUACUGAAGCGCCCCCGGCCGGGGUUGAUGAUAUGACCAAGUUAGCUUACCUCCACGAGCCGGGGGUCUUAUACAACCUCGCAUGUCGCUUUUCUCUCAAUGAGAUAUAUGUAAGUUCUGUCCACACAAUUUGAUUAACAGAAUGCUAAAGAAAACAGAGAAAAGAUUCUGAUAACAAUUGUGCAGACUUACACAGGGAACAUUUUGAUAGCUGUGAAUCCUUUCCGGAGGUUGCCACAUCUGUAUGAUAUCCAUAUGAUGCAGCAGUACAAAGGAGCUGCUUUCGGAGAGCUGAGUCCGCAUCUCUUUGCCGUUGCAGAUACCUGCUACAGGUUCAUUGUGAUGCAUCAUGUUUGCUUAAACCAGCUGCAUAGUCACUCACAAGUUAAUCUCUUUAUACCUCAGGUCAAUAAUUAAUGAACAUGGAAGCCAGUCUAUCUUGGUGAGCGGAGAGAGUGGAGCUGGAAAAACGGAGACAACGAAAAUGCUAAUGAGAUAUCUAGCAUUCAUGGGAGGGAGGUCUGGCACAGAAGGAAGAACAGUUGAGCAACAGGUUUUGGAGGUGAGAAGAUUGAGAUAUCUCUAUCCUUAGGCAUUGUUAGCAUUUUUUAUUCCAAGAUUUAACAGACAUUCCACAAUUCUAUUUUUUCAUUGCUUUCAGUCAAAUCCAGUUUUGGAAGCAUUUGGCAAUGCAAAAACUGUUAAAAAUAACAAUUCCAGGUAAAUGAAUGCAAAAAAUGUUUCAAGUUCAAAUUUCAACCUUUUAUUGAGUUGUUAAGUUUUGGGCUUACAAGAAGUUCACUUGACUGAGUGGUGUACCAGUCGUUUCGGUAAAUUUGUAGAAAUCCAAUUCGAUAACAUGGGAAGAUCUCUGGGGCUGCAGUUCGG